rnacentral:rRNA from 1 species
GCCUGCCCUGUGAUUUUAUUCAACGGCCGCGGUAUCUUAACCGUGCAAAGGUAGCACAAUCAAUCGUCCUCUAAAUAGGGACUAGUAUGAACGGCACCACGAGGGCUUAACUGUCUCCCCCCUCCAAUCAAUGAAACUGAUCUUCUCGUGAAGAAGCGAAAAUUAACAUAUAAGACGAAAAGACCCCAUGGAGCUUUAAACUCAUCAACAACUAUUAUAACAAAAUCAUAUUAACUAAUAGAGCUGUUCCUGAUAAAUUUUUGGCUGGGGUGCCCCUGGAGCAAAAUAAAUCCUCCAGAAUGAAGGAAUUUAUAAUACUAAUCCCUGAAUUACCACUCAAAGAAUCAAAAUAUUGACAUAAUUGAUCCAAUAACUUGAUCAACGAACCAAGUUACCCUGGGGAUAACAGCGCAAUCCAUUUCAAGAGCUCCUAUCGACAAAUGGGUUUACGACCUCGAUGUUGGAUCAGGGUAUCCUAGUGGCGCAGUAGUUGCUAAAGGUUCGUUUGUUCAACGAUUAAUAACCCUACGUGAUCU